CAUGUCAGAAAACAAGAAAGAUACAUAAUUUAGAGAUAACAAAGAUUAUACCUUUCUUGGGCAACAGUGUCGCAAAUCCUAGUGAGAAUUAUUUUUCGUAAAUCUUCACUAAAGAUUGGAUUUUCCAUCACCAGAACCAUCUAUUAAGGAGAUGAUCAAGGCUCAAUUCCAGUGGAUUCUUUAGCUCCGGAUCAAGAGACAACCCAGCCUUUUCCUUUUCAUGCGACGACCUCAUCUUCUUUUCCCUCCACGCCUUUUUUCUCAUCACAAAAUUGAGGAGUGCUACAAUGCUAGCAUAUAUAUAACAAGAACUAUUCGCAAAGCGAGGGUAGAUAGUUUUUACAGAGCAUGGAUGCUAUGGGAAAAACCUACACUUACUAGCUAUGAUAGCAAAGGAGAGUCGUAAUACAGAGAAGGGUGUGAAUGCUCUUAGCUAAUGUGAGUAGGUAAAUAUUCGAAUACCAUACCAAAUGUCAUCUGAUCACACGGAUCAUAUGACAUCAGUAACGGAUUAUAAUUACAAGGCAAAGAUUGAAAGCGGCAGCACGGCAGGACAACGCCCAUGCCCGCCCUCUCGGCGUUCCUGCGUUACCCCCUGAAAAGCCGAAACGGAUUUCGAAAAAGUUCCUCAAUCAGAGAAAUCCCCGGACGAAUCUAGAACUUUCUAGAAUUUGACGACGGUGUUCUUUCUGCAUCUGGAUUCUCAAAGCACAGUGAAUUGUAGCUAUUGGAUGUAUUGGACUGGUGAAAGCUGUGAUCUUUAGUCUUUUAUAUGGAAGAUUACACUGAACCCGAACCUCAACAGAGCGAAGCAGGUAUGCAUUUUUCUUUGUCAAAGCUCAUUUCUUUGUUUGCUUUUUUCUACUUUACCUGCUAUCGGUUGCGUUAAUGUUUACAUUUAGCAUAUGCAAAUGGCAUUUGCAGUGUGCAAUUUUUUCAUGAAAUCUAUUUUUCAGUAGUUCCUCAAAACUCUAUGUAUCUGUCUGAGCUAUCUUUUUAGAAAACAAUCCGAUUCAUUAGAGAGUAUGCUUGUAAUUAAUAAAAUAGGGGCUUCUUUUAAGUGUA